AGUUUAAGUGUUUAAAGCGACAAAAAGAGAAAACAACAAAAAUAAAUAAAUAAACAAAACGAGAAAAUUAAGCAGAAAUUUUCGCCUCAUUGUCCUGUCUUGUCCUGUCUUGUGUCUGCUGUGACUUCUGCAACUGCUGCAGUGCUUUCCCAGUUUGUGUGAUUGUUGUUGUUACAUUAUUUUUCUUGCUUUCAUUUCGUGGAUUAUCACCUGCUACUUACGUUCUUUGCCAUUGCCGUUGCCGUUGAUGUUGCCGUUAUCGUUGAUACUACGUCGUCGCAUAGCCUUUGCCGUUGCCGCUGUUAUUGCCGCCGCUGCCGCUACGUAUCCUUUUUAAGUCAACACGCAACAUUUAUAUACGAUAGAUAAAUUAUCAUAUAGCAGAUUAAAGAUUUAAAUCUUCCAAUCCAAAUCGCAUUUACAGAUACGCCGCCGACAAGAGCAGUGCGCUUCGCUUACUCCAUGAAUGAAGGCUUGCGACGUGCAGUAAGAAAGCACUAAUAACUUCACGAACAUAUAAGAAAAGUGAAGCCUUCGUCCUCGUGUUAGUAGUCGUCGUGUUCGUAAAAGUCUCUGCCGAAGUCUGUCUGAGCUACACAAUCCGAACUGAAAUCAAGCACAGCUUUUGUGCACUGCGGCGCUGCUGCAUAAAAGCGUACACAACAACAAAUCUAGGUGAACUGCGCUGCGCCGAACGAAAUAAUACACGGUUAAGUGCAGUGAGGACACAAAAAUUUAGUAACUAAAUAACGCAUUUAAGGAAAAUUCAACCUUCAAAGGAAAAGCAACGAAACGACGGUGCUGUUGAUAUUGUCAUUGUUUUUUUUUUUUGUUUUUUUUUGUAUGAACAUAUUUUUGUUUGAAUUUUUUGUUGCUACA